UGCAGUCGAGCGAACCCUUCGGGGUGAGCGGCGGACGGGUGAGUAACGCGUGGGUAACCUGCCCUAUACACACGGAUAACGUACCGAAAGGUACGCUAAUACUAGAUGACAUAUUUUUAUCGCAUGGUAGAAAUAUCAAAGCUCCGGCGGUAUAGGAUGGACCCGCGUCUGAUUAGCUAGUUGGUAAGGUAAUGGCUUACCAAGGCGACGAUCAGUAGCCGACCUGAGAGGGUGAUCGGCCACAUUGGAACUGAGACACGGUCCAAACUCCUACGGGAGGCAGCAGUGGGGAAUAUUGCACAAUGGGCGAAAGCCUGAUGCAGCAACGCCGCGUGAGCGAUGAAGGCCUUCGGGUCGUAAAGCUCUGUCCUCAAGGAAGAUAAUGACGGUACUUGAGGAGGAAGCCCCGGCUAACUACGUGCCAGCAGCCGCGGUAAUACGUAGGGGGCUAGCGUUAUCCGGAAUUACUGGGCGUAAAGGGUGCGUAGGUGGUUUCUUAAGUCAGAGGUGAAAGGCUACGGCUCAACCGUAGUAAGCCUUUGAAACUGAGAAACUUGAGUGCAGGAGAGGAGAGUAGAAUUCCUAGUGUAGCGGUGAAAUGCGUAGAUAUUAGGAGGAAUACCAGUUGCGAAGGCGGCUCUCUGGACUGUAACUGACACUGAGGCACGAAAGCGUGGGGAGCAAACAGGAUUAGAUAUCCUGGUAGUCCACGCCGUAAACGAUGAGUACUAGCUGUCGGAGGUUACCCCCUUCGGUGGCGCAGCUAACGCAUUAAGUACUCCGCCUGGGAAGUACGCUCGCAAGAGUGAAACUCAAAGGAAUUGACGGGGACCCGCACAAGUAGCGGAGCAUGUGGUUUAAUUCGAAGCAACGCGAAGAACCUUACCUAAGCUUGACAUCCUUUUGACCUCUCCCUAAUCGGAGAUUUCCCUUCGGGGACAGAAGUGACAGGUGGUGCAUGGUUGUCGUCAGCUCGUGUCGUGAGAUGUUGGGUUAAGUCCCGCAACGAGCGCAACCCUUGCCUUUAGUUGCCAUCAUUAAGUUGGGCACUCUAGAGGGACUGCCAGGGAUAACCUGGAGGAAGGUGGGGAUGACGUCAAAUCAUCAUGCCCCUUAUGCUUAGGGCUACACACGUGCUACAAUGGGUGGUACAGAGGGCAGCCAAGUCGUGAGGCGGAGCUAAUCCCUUAAAGCCAUUCUCAGUUCGGAUUGUAGGCUGAAACUCGCCUACAUGAAGCUGGAGUUACUAGUAAUCGCAGAUCAGAAUGCUGCGGUGAAUGCGUUCCCGGGUCUUGUACACACCGCCCGUCACACCAUGGGAGUUGGGGGCGCCCGAAGCCGGUUAGCUAACCUUUGGAAGCGGCCGUCGA
rnacentral:rRNA from 1 species